ACUCAAAGGAAUUGACGGGGGCCCGCACAAGCGGUGGAGUAUGUGGUUUAAUUCGACGCAACGCGAAGAACCUUACCAGGCCUUGACAUGUCCAGUAUGAGAUCAGGAGACUGAUUUCUUCAGUUCGGCUGGCUGGAACACAGGUGCUGCAUGGCUGUCGUCAGCUCGUGUCGUGAGAUGUUGGGUUAAGUCCCGCAACGAGCGCAACCCUCAUUGUCAGUUGCUACCAGGUUAUGCUGGGCACUCUGAUGAAACUGCCGGUGACAAGCCGGAGGAAGGCGGGGAUGACGUCAAGUCCUCAUGGCCCUUACGGCCUGGGCUACACACGUACUACAAUGGUGGUGACAGUGGGAAGCCAAAGCGCAAGCUGGAGCGAACCCCCAAAAACCACCUCAGUUCAGAUUGCACUCUGCAACUCGAGUGCAUGAAGUCGGAAUCGCUAGUAAUCGCAGAUCAGCACGCUGCGGUGAAUACGUUCCCGGGCCUUGUACACACCGCCCGU
rnacentral:rRNA from 1 species